rnacentral:rRNA from 1 species
UUGCCAGCGAGUAAUGUCGGGAACUCCAGGGAGACUGCCGGUGAUAAACCGGAGGAAGGUGGGGACGACGUCAAGUCAUCAUGGCCCUUACGAGUAGGGCUACACACGUGCUACAAUGGCGCAUACAGAGGGCGGCCAACUUGCGAAAGUGAGCGAAUCCCAAAAAGUGCGUCGUAGUCCGGAUUGGAGUCUGCAACUCGACUCCAUGAAGUCGGAAUCGCUAGUAAUCGUGGAUCAGAAUGCCACGGUGAAUACGUUCCCGGGCCUUGUACACACCGCCCGUCACACCAUGGGAGUGGGCUGCAAAAGAAGUAGGUAGUUUAACCUUCGGGGGGACGCUUACCACUUUGUGGUUCAUGACUGGGGUGAAGUCGUAACAAGGUAGCGCUAGGGGAACCUGGCGCUGGAUCACCUCCUUA